UCCGCGCCGCCCAAUGCCUGGCUGCUAACGUUACAACAAAUACCAGGCUGUUUGUCUGUAGUACAGCAGUGUUAGUUCUGGUGAUGUUGGAGCGUUGGCGAUUCUACUGUGAAGCUGCAGUCAAGCAAUCGUUGUGAGCCGCAGUAACGACCGUUCUUGUUUUGCCCAGUUCACGCCGCCAGGCCGCGAUAAGCAUCGCUUGUGUCUUCCGAAUCAGGGGCGCACAUAUUCCGGCUGGUAAUCAUGAUUACAAAUGCGUGGUGGAUAAUCUUUGUUGGUGCGCUGGCCGGAAUGUUCGCAGGCUACUGUCUCAUAGCGCCAAUCUUACUUUGCUUGUGUGGAUUCGGUUGCGGAGGAGUUAAGAAAGGAUCAUUUGCUGCUGCACGUCAGUCUGCAAUCGGGAAUGUCGAGGAAGGAAGUUGCUUUGCCGAUGCUCAGUCGGAGGGCGCUGGCGGUUGCUGCAGACCUCACUGUUUGAAUUUAUUCUGUCUUUUCGUCUUCGGAGCAGUUGGUGGAGUAGUUGGUGUCGUAUUCUGGAUCAAAAUAUUAGUUAACUAAACUAUAACUACAUUUCAAAAUUUUGAAGGACGCUUCACGCAGCUUCAUUAUACUUGAAUCGUUUGCAGGCAACCUACCUACACUCAAGAGAGCACUGCAUUUCACACAAAUCCAUUGGUAUCGUUACAGCGUUUCGGUCUUUAUGACCAUCAUCAGGAAUGAAGUGGACAUGGAAAGAACAGCAGUAUAAAAGAAGGUUUAUACUGCUGUUCUUUCCAUAUCCACUUCAUUCCUGAUGAUGGUCAUAAAGACCGAAACGUUGCAACGAUACCAAUGGAUUUGUAUGAAAUGCAGUGCUCUUGUAACUACAUUAUUACUUGCACUAUUGGGGACUACUGGGUGGACAGCAUCUGGAUCAGCUACAAUCUGUUAGAUUCUCUACAAUACGCAGCUCUAGCUGUAUGCGCUAUACACAGCAGUUCACUCCAAGUCAAACAUUCGUUACAAACAUGUCCAUUAUAAUAAUUACACACACACACACACACAUACAUACACACACACACACACACACACACACACACACACACACACACACACACACACACACAAACACACCGUGCAUGUACAUCUAUAUUGUAAGCAAGUUGAGUGAAUCAUAGCUUGUCGAACCAUCGCCUCUUUUGCCCUCUCAGACGGUUUAUACCAGCUGCCAAUCAUUUCUAAUCUUAUUUCCACAAUUUCAUAUUUAAUAUAAAUAAAAGGGGAUUUGUCUACUGACAACCGCUCCAACCCCCCUUUA